rnacentral:lncRNA from 1 species
AGAUCAGGGCCACAGCAUCCCUGCCUCCCUGACCCCUCCAUCUUUCUGCUGCAACCAAUCAACAGCCUGGAUGAGGCUUGCGGAGGGAAGCAGGUGCUUGGGGUUAUUACUGACCUACCAAGGGAAGGUUCAGAGAGGCCAAGGAGCUGUGUGACCUUCCGGUUAAACUGUGACUUCACCAAGGAGAGUGUUUGCAAAGAUCAAACGGAGCCAUGUACAGAGGACUCUGCCUGGUGUCUGGCCCCCAGGGCAGUGGAUAAGAGACUGCCUGACCUAGAUGACCUGGGACAAGUCGCUCAAGUGGAGUAUUGGAGUUGGCCCAGGCGUGCAGAAGGAGGCAGAGAAGGAAAGAGCAAAGGAAUCUCCGUGUUCCGGAUGUACUUACAUGGAUAUCCUUGGGGGAGCUGGUUUAUAUGCGGCACGUUCCCUACACGAGGAGUUCCAGGAUAUUCACGUCACUUGCUAGGGAAACUUGGAAAGCUUUGGCAAACUGACUUAAUGCUCAUCCAAAGUCAGACUCAGCACCUUUCUCCGGAAACUCGGAGAAGAAGAAGAAAAAAAAAAAAAGGGAUGGAAUUCGUCUUGGGAAUUUCAUUAAGAACACAACAGCAACACCUUCUGCUGUGUCUAUGGCGCUGAUCUAGCCAAGAGUGUACCUCUGGAAGGCAAUUCUGAGCUCAUUUUUGUGGCCGUGUGAAUUUAGUUGCUUGUUUUUAUUAAUAACCUGCUUCUGUUGUUUAAUGAAAACCAGAAUCUACUUCACUGUCUCAAAAACAUCAGUGCCUCCCUUCUUACUUUCAUGGUUUUCCCCUGACUUUCAUUUUAUUCAUUUUCAAGUGGAAGUAAGAUAAUGCACACGUGGGAUUUCCCCACAGUCAAAAUGCACCUAAAUUAAAAAUCUUAAACAUGUCUGAUUUGAGGACAAUACUGUUUAAUCAUUGUCUACAAUUUAAGUGUUAAAGGACAGGAAUCAACCCGAGCUUGAAAAGGUGGGAUGAGCCUGUCUCCCUAGUGACACUGUGGAGAACAGAGAAUUUCCGGAAGGGAAUGAGGAACAAUUCUUGUAACGUGAGAAUGGAAUUGCUUUAUCUUUAACCAGCGUGUGAUGGAACAGAUAUUUGUUGGACAAAUUAGUGCAAGAUACUGUUCUUCUUUUUUAAAGUUUUGUUGAAGUAUAGUUGAUUUACAAGAUUGUAAUAAUUCGUGAAACUGUUCUGAUGGUUAAUUUGGGGCUCACUAGGUCCCUUUUUGGACUUCCAUUUUUCAUAGGAGGCUGCCUUAAGUUGCCAUGUGGGCCUUUUGACAGAGCUGCCUACUCACCUUUGACAUGGUCUGUUGGUUAGAAGGUACAGGUAUCACCCAUACUUAUAUAAAGAGGGUUAUAUAAAGAUGUCACUACCAGGAAGUGGGAAACCUAGAGGCCACCUGAGUUUCUUGGUUCCCUAGCCAGACUUCCUGGGUUCAAAUCUGGUCCCAUCACACAGCAGUUCCAAGAAAUUUAAGGAUGUAUUAAUCUCCAAGCCUCAGUUUCCUCAUUCAUUAAAUGGAAAGUCUACUCAUGCCUUCAUCACAGGGUUAUUCCAUCAGUCCCUCAUUUCCAGAUAUUCUUGUGCCAUUUUCAUGAUUGUUGCCUAAUUUG